ACGCUGGCGGCAGGCCUAACACAUGCAAGUCGAGCGGUAGGGAGAAGCUUGCUUCUCUUGAGAGCGGCGGACGGGUGAGUAAUGCCUAGGAAUCUGCCUGGUAGUGGGGGAUAACGUUCGGAAACGGACGCUAAUACCGCAUACGUCCUACGGGAGAAAGCAGGGGACCUUCGGGCCUUGCGCUAUCAGAUGAGCCUAGGUCGGAUUAGCUAGUUGGUGGGGUAAUGGCUCACCAAGGCGACGAUCCGUAACUGGUCUGAGAGGAUGAUCAGUCACACUGGAACUGAGACACGGUCCAGACUCCUACGGGAGGCAGCAGUGGGGAAUAUUGGACAAUGGGCGAAAGCCUGAUCCAGCCAUGCCGCGUGUGUGAAGAAGGUCUUCGGAUUGUAAAGCACUUUAAGUUGGGAGGAAGGGCCGUUACCUAAUACGUGAUGGUUUUGACGUUACCGACAGAAUAAGCACCGGCUAACUCUAUGCCAGCAGCCGCGGUAAUACAGAGGGUGCAAGCGUUAAUCGGAAUUACUGGGCGUAAAGCGCGCGUAGGUGGUUUGUUAAGUUGGAUGUGAAAUCCCCGGGCUCAACCUGGGAACUGCAUUCAAAACUGACUGACUAGAGUAUGGUAGAGGGUGGUGGAAUUUCCUGUGUAGCGGUGAAAUGCGUAGAUAUAGGAAGGAACACCAGUGGCGAAGGCGACCACCUGGACUAAUACUGACACUGAGGUGCGAAAGCGUGGGGAGCAAACAGGAUUAGAUACCCUGGUAGUCC
rnacentral:rRNA from 1 species